UCCGUAGGUGAACCUGCGGUUCCGUGAAUCAUCGAGUCUUUGAACGCACAUUGCGCCCCCUGGUAUUCCGGGGGGCAUGCCUGUCCGAGCGUCAUUGCUGCCCAUCAAGCACGGCUUGUGUGUUGGGUCGUCGUCCCCUCUCCGGGGGGGACGGGCCCCAAAGGCAGCGGCGGCACCGCGUCCGAUCCUCGAGCGUAUGGGGCUUUGUCACCCGCUCUGUAGGCCCGGCCGGCGCUUGCCGAACGCAAAUCAAUCUUUUCCAGGUGACCUCGGAUGCAGGCUCGCAAUCAGUUAAAACUUUCAACAAUGGAUCUCUUGGUUCCGGCAUCGAUGAAGAACGCAGCGAAAUGCGAUAACUAGUGUGAAUUGCAGAAUUCCGUGAAUCAUCGAGUCUUUGAACGCACAUUGCGCCCCCUGGUAUUCCGGGGGGCAUGCCUGUCCGAGCGUCAUUGCUGCCCAUCAAGCACGGCUUGUGUGUUGGGUCGUCGUCCCCUCUCCGGGGGGGACGGGCCCCAAAGGCAGCGGCGGCACCGCGUCCGAUCCUCGAGCGUAUGGGGCUUUGUCACCCGCUCUGUAGGCCCGGCCGGCGCUUGCCGAACGCAAAUCAAUCUUUUUCCAGGUUGACCUCGGAUCAGGUAGGGAUACCCGCUGAACUUAAGCAUAUCAAUAAGCGGAGGA
rnacentral:rRNA from 1 species